UUGGGCCUGAAUCAAGGCCAGCAGCUUCCUGAUGAUGUUGGUUUCAAGCAGGAGCCUAAAGAGAUGUCUGUUGGCCAUUUCAGAACUUGGGCAGUGAAAUGGUCAAUUCAUUAGAAAAAAAA
ensembl:snoRNA